rnacentral:rRNA from 1 species
UACGUAGGGGUGCAAGCGUUAUCCGGAAUUAUUGGGCGUAAAGAGCUCGUAGGCGGUUCAGUAAGUCAGGUGUGAAAUCCUUUUGGGGCUUAACCCAAAGCGUGCACUUGAUACUGCUGUGACUUGAGUUCGGGUAGGGGGAGUGGGGAAUUCCUAGUGUAGCGGUGAAAUGCGCAGAUAUUAGGAGGAACACCGGUGGCGAAGGCGCCACUCGUGGGCCGAAACUGACGCUGAGGAGCGAAAAGCGUGGGUAGCAAACAGG